rnacentral:misc_RNA from 1 species
GAUGAAGAACGUAGCGAAAUGCGAUAAGUAAUGUGAAUUGCAGAAUUCAGUGAAUCAUCGAAUCUUUGAACGCACAUUGCGCCCGCCAGUAUUCUGGCGGGCAUGCCUGUUCGAGCGUCAUUUCAACCAUCAAGCCCCCGGCUUGUGUUGGGGACCUGCGGCUGCCGCAGGCCCUGAAAAGCAGUGGCGGGCUCGCUGUCACACCGAGCGUAGUAGCAUACAUCUCGCUCUGGGCGUGCUGCGGGUUCCGGCCGUUAAACCACCUUCAUAACCCAAGGUUGACCUCGAAUCAGGUAGGAAGACCCGCUGAACUUAAGCAUAUCAAUAAGCGGAGGA